GGGGCCGGUGGACCGCAGUCGAAGGGUCGUCGGCCUCAUAAGCCGAAGGUGGCCGGGUGAAAUUCCCGCCCCGACCCCA
rnacentral:tRNA from 1 species